ensembl:lncRNA
GGCAGCCCCUUCUCUCCUCCUCCGCCUUCGGCGGGCCACGGACCAGGGACGAGGGUCUCUAAAUGCGCCUGGCUUGGCUAGACCCGCAGCUGAACUUCCCCGCCGGGCAGAGGCCACAAGGUUGAGGAUGAGAACGGGUCCUCCUUUAGGGACCCGGACCCAGGCCCGGAGUUGAAGGAAUCUCGGUCAAGCAGGAAUAGACUCGCGCGGGAGUUGGCUGCAACCUCAAUCCGAGGAGGAGGCCGAGCUCUCCCCAUCGCCCUCCUACCCCACCUCCCCACCGGGAGCGGCGUCAGUCUGCGGAACCCGCAGAGGGGCUGGGCGUUUCCGGAUUGAAAGGCGCCCUCCGUCUCCAAGAGGGAGCUCGAGCUGCCGCGGGGGACCUCAGCAGCUUGCAGGCGCCGCGGUCCUGGGGAGUCCGUGCUGGAGGUGUGCUCCGGGUUGAGCCCUGCCAGGACUCUGCCUUGUUUAUCCAUUCUGCUGAAGAUGGACAUUAAAGUUGUUUCCAGUUUGGAGCUACUGUGAAGAAAACUGCUAUGACAUUACUGUGCACAUCUUUAGAUUAUCCUUGAUAAUCUGGAUCUGCCUGAUCCCAUCAAUUGAAAGGCUGAGGAGCAGAAUUGAAGUUUCCGUGAGGAGGAAGAAAUUCCACCUAUGGGGUUGCAUCUUCAGCUUCUGCCCAAGAAUUUCCAGCUUAUCCUUCCUAACAGUUUGCCCUGAGAGCUUCAGACUUCACUCGCCAGCCCCUACAAUCACAUAAGUCAAUUCCUUACAAUAAAUGUCCAUCCUACUGAUGCUAUUUCUCUGGUGAAACCGUGACUCUGGGGCACUUAACAUAUAGCAAUAAAGAUGAUUUUUG